rnacentral:misc_RNA from 1 species
CGAAUGGGUCUGAAGACUCUUAAAACCUACCGUGCUCCCCUACGUGGAAAACAGGAAAGCUCUCCGGGGCAUAGGAAAUCUGAGAAGUUGAGAACUGCGCCCCGGCGCAUGACUAAAACAAAAAAAUUA